CCCUUAGAUGUUCUGGGCAGCACGCGCGCUACAAUGGUCUUCGCAAACGGAUGCAUUCUCGAAGGAGAAUGCCAAUCUUGGAAUCUAUGCCUUGGUCGGGACAGUUGCUGGCAAUUUUUCGACUCGAACCAGGAAUUCCUUGUAAUCGUGAUUCAUCACAUCACGAUGAAUACGUCCCUGCCCUUUGUACACACCGCCCGUCGCUCCUACCGAUCGAAGAGUUAGGUGAAUUGUUUUGAUCGAUAAGAUUUGACUAUGGUCAACUCUCGUUGUGAAAUUCUGUGAAUCUGACUGUUUAGAGGAAGGAAAAGUCGUAACA
rnacentral:rRNA from 1 species